rnacentral:lncRNA from 1 species
GGGGAUACAUAGAAAUUUUAAUUUAUGUGUUUUGUUUUCUUAUUUUGUGCUCUGUUUAAAAUUUUUUCAAAGAUAUAUAAAAAUUUUAAAAUUUUGUUUUCUCUUUUUUUUUUCUUGUAUGGUGCUUGAAAUAUGUUGGCUUUGGGAUUAUUGGUUGUUGAUAUUGAAUGAUGUAUUGUUGACUUUUGAGCAUGUAAAUUUCAAUUGAUGUUAGAUAAUUU